UACAUUACUGUAUAGGAGAGAGUUUUUACAACAUUUUCUGACAUUUUUGAUACAUGUACUUUUGAUCAUUGAGUUGUCAGUUACACUUGUUCCAGUUGACUUGUCUCUCUUCUUCGGUUGGUCUAUCUCACUCCUUCUCCCUCCCCCUCCUCUCUCCCCUCCCUGAGGUACCCUCCCCUGUCUUCAUUAAACUGGACCACGUCACCUACCCACUGGUAUCAGUCUCUAUUGAAGGGGACGUGGCAGUGGGCGGAGUCACAGAGUCCUAUUACAUGUUGCGAGUGCCGGUUUCCCUCUCCUUAUCUUCCGCUGGUUUCUGAUGAGCAGAUCCCUCGGUCUUUCUUUAAGAUUGAGUCGUUAAUUAGAAUAAGUACCAGUAGCGCCUUUGAUCACAUGACAAGGAUCAUAUCAAGUACUUCAAAAUUAAAGCGAAAGAUAAAGUACAUGUUUUAUUAUUAUUAUUGGGGCGAGCCUGAGUGAGCCCCACAUAAACGACACGAGUAUGUGUGGUCACAGGGAAAUAAAAUGGCGGCUUACUAGAUCAAAACUGGACUUUAGCAAGACUGAUUAGACUGUACUGCUGUGAAAAUGCAGCAAAGAGUUGUUGGAUUCUUCUCUGUUGGUUCCUUCUGCUAAGAGGUUGUGUCUUUAUCCUGAAGUGCCCCUCCCCCCUCUCUCUGGUCUCCUAGCAACACAAAACAUGAUCACAUUCCUCCAAGCAACAGUAAACAAUAAUAUCAACAUAUUGUCAUCCUUAUGCUGUGUAGCAAGUUU
rnacentral:lncRNA from 1 species